GAUGAACGCUGGCGGCGCGCCUAACACAUGCAAGUCGAACGAUUAAAGCACCUUCGGGUGUGUAUAAAGUGGCGAACGGCUGAGUAACACGUGGGCAACCUGCCCCUCUCAUUGGGAUAGCCACGGGAAACCGUGGAUAAUACCGAAUACUUCGGGACUUCCUCCUGGAAGACUCGAGAAAGCUCCGGCGGGGAGGGAUGGGCCCGCGGCCUGUUAGCUUGUUGGUGGGGUAAUGGCCUACCAAGGCAAUGAUGGGUAGCUGGGUUGAGAGACCGACCAGCCAGAUUGGGACUGAGACACGGCCCAGACUCCUACGGGAGGCAGCAGUGGGGAAUCUUGCACAAUGGGCGAAAGCCUGAUGCAGCGACGCCGCGUGCGGGAUGAAGGCCUUCGGGUUGUAAACCGCUUUCAGCAGGGACGAGGCGAAAGUGACGGUACCUGCAGAAGAAGCCCCGGCUAACUACGUG
rnacentral:rRNA from 1 species